rnacentral:rRNA from 1 species
CCCUAGUAUCAAAUAGAAUUUGAAUUAGUAUUAUUGAAAAUUAAUAAUUUUGGCGGUUAAUUAUUAUUUAGAGGAGCUUGUACUUUAUAGAUUUUGCUCUUUAUAUUUUACUAAUAGGUCUAAUUUAUUCAUCUCCGUUAUUAAAUUAAAAUAUAUUUAUGAUUGUAAAAGAUGUUAUUUAAGAUCUCAGGUCAAGAUGUAGUAUGAAUUAGAGGGUAUUAGCUACAUUUAUGAAAUUAGUGAAAUUAUAUUUAGAGUAAACAAGUAAGAAAUUGAAUUUAGUUGUAAUAGAGAUUAGAAUAUAAUUGUGAAUAUAUAUAAUUAAUGUA